ACUCCGUAACUCCCGUCGAUCCCCCUCUGCCUCUCUCCCGAUCCCAUCUCCCUCUGCCUCUCUCAUUUUUCUCGUAUCUCUCUUGUUCUCCUCCCGAAUUGAAGCAGUCGCGGCGUGCAACGGAAUCCCGAGCAGCAGGCAGCCGGAGCGGCCAGAAUAGGGUGCGGCCGGGGCGGCGGAUCGGCGGCGGAGAGGGGCGCCGCUGGGCCGGCGGUUCGGCAGCUUAGCGAGGAGCGGCCGCGGGCGGCGGCGGCGUGGCGUCGUUGGAGCAGCGAUGCAGCGUGCAGCCGGAGCGGCCGGAAGAGGGCGCGGCCAGGGCGGCGGAUUGGCGGUGGAGCAGGGCGAGGCUGCGGGCCGCGGCGGCGUGGCGUCAUCGGAGCAGGGGCGCAGCGGUGGCGGCGGGGCGUCGACGGAGCAGGGGCACGCGGCACCAAAAUCCCGAGCAGGGCGUAGGCGCAGGCGUCGGGGGUGGGUUCGGCGACCAUCAGGAGCAGCGGCGUCUUGACUGAGGCGGGGAGGGUGUUGACGGGGACGAUGGCGAGGUUCUAGACUGGGCCAAUCCCAUCUCUGCACUCAACUUGCCAGUUACGCGUGAGGUGAUCUGAAAACCAUGUGGGUGCCGGCAUGCCGCAGAUCGACUCUGACCUCCUUCACCGUCUCUUGAUCACCUUUGUUAUUGUCGUUGUUGCUGCCGCUGUUUUAUGAUUUGUGUGUUACACUAGAUAGUAAGUAUUCGCAAAUAAUGCAUACUUGUUAUUGAAUGGUGAUCAAUAAGUGAGCGAAUUCGAGACUA